rnacentral:rRNA from 1 species
UACAGAGGGUGCGAGCGUUGUUCGGAAUUAUUGGGCGUAAAGGGUGCGUAGGCGGUCUGAUAAGUCAUCUGUGAAAUCUAUGGGCUCAACCCAUAGUCUGCAGGCGAAACUGUCGGGCUUGAGUAUGGGAGAGGUGAGUGGAAUUUCCGGUGUAGCGGUGAAAUGCGUAGAUAUCGGAAGGAACACCUGUGGCGAAAGCGGCUCACUGGACCAUUACUGACGCUGAUGCACGAAAGCUAGGGGAGCAAACAGG